rnacentral:snRNA from 1 species
GUACUUUCGAGUACACAUACUAAAAUUGGAACGAUACAGAGAAGAUUAGCAUGGCCCCUGCGCAAGGAUGACACGCAAAAUCGUGAAGCGUUCCACAUUUUU